GCCCGGUUAGCUCUGUUGGUAGAACAUCGGACUUUUAAUAUGAGGGCCAUGGGGUCGAGUCCCGUAUCGGGCU